GCCGGAAGACUUCCUAGGGAUCUUAUUCGCAGAAUGUUUUCUCUGCUGAGCAAGAAAGAUAUUUUUCGCUGCAGUAAUUUGAUUCUUUUACAUGUUAAAAUGAAAUUAACACUUCACUUCGUUAAUACUUCAGAUGAAAAAAGAUUUAUCGAACAUACGGGCCCUAAUCCGGGAGCGAAUGAUCAGAGUUUCAGGAUCUUCUUUGUUGUGUUGGCGAGAUGAUAACGCACGUUUCAGGCUCUGAGGCUGAUGAUGGUGAAUUGGGAUGAAUAUUCAUUUAAACUUGGAAGAUAGUCUCAUAUGCUACACAUUGCUGUCGUGGCCUUCAAAACAUUCAUUUCAGGGGUCUUCUAUAAAUGAAACCGUCAUCGCAUCUGUUUAAAAUAUGCCCUCCAAAAACGCAACUCCUCAAGGACUGAACCAAUACUUUUGGAUUAGAAUGACUGUGGCAUCGGCAUGGGAAAAUGCAAAGAUUCCUUUUUUUUCCCAAUUUAAAUCCUCAAUAGAUGUGAUUUUUUGUAUACAUUUGACAUGUACCUUUUUUAAUUAAACUUUAUGUAGAAGUAUCAUGAAAUUAAAUUGUAUAUAAUAAAAUUAAUUGAAUUUGUA